GUCCUUGUAGUAUAGUGGUUAAUACAUCAGACUGGAAUACUGAAGACGUGGGUUCGAUUCCCGCCAAAGCCA
rnacentral:tRNA from 1 species